rnacentral:sRNA from 1 species
AUACCCAAGGAGUUUGCAACUACGUACAUAAAUAACAUUACGGUUCAGACAUGUAUACUUGACAAGUAACUGCCAUUAUUCUAUAGAGUUUGUUUCCCAAUGAACCUAAAAAUAAUUAUAUACAAACAGGCAGAAAUUUUAUUAUUAGCCAAUCAGAACUUUUUCCUACAUGUUUAUUUACUAAAAAGUUGAAACUUUAGGCUUAUAUAUACUCAUCCAACCUUCAAUUGUAUGAUAUCAUCCAUAGUUCUGUAUUUUCUACCAUUCUUAUUCUACCCCCUUUCUAGAGAUAUCAAAAUCUCUCCCUUCAGAAUCAGAUCUGUCUCUCCAUUUGAUUUCUCUCUGCAUCAUAUAAUAUUACUCAAAUCAACAUCUUUUAUAAUUCAUAUAACUUAGAUUGUGGAUAACACAUAAUUCAAUUGCUUUCUUUAGAAUCGAUCUUGCUAGUUUUUCUCUCAAUCUAGGGUGCUAGGUCCAUGCAUAUAUAUCAUCCAUUAUAAGCAUUUAUACAUAUGUGUAGCUAUAGAUGCAUUUAACAUUGGUUUGAUUUUCCAGUGGUUGUUGCAAGAUAAAUACCAAGAGAGUUUCCUUAAGUCCAUUCACAUGUUGUGAUUUGAUCCAAUUAGCUCCAGACUCAUUCACUCACUUACCGAGUCACUAAAACAGGAAUGAACUCGUUACAUGAGUAAAUGAUGCGGGAGACUUAUUGGAUCUUAGAUUCAUUGCGAUUGGACUGAAGGGAACUCCCUUUAUUCUAUUUAUUCCAACACAUUUUUGUUUGUUAAACAUUUUAACAGCUGUUCUUCAUACACUCCAUCUUCAAGCUGGCGUGUCACCAAUCG